rnacentral:snoRNA from 1 species
AUAAGCUGAGGUUGAUUUAAAGUUAUCCCUGUCUGAAAUGGCAAUUUUUUGUGAAGACUUCUGAUCUUCUGAGGUUCGG